rnacentral:rRNA from 1 species
UGCAAGCGUUGUCCGGAAUUAUUGGGCGUAACGAGCUCGUAGGCGGUCUGUCGCGUCUGCUGUGAAAACUCGGGGCUUAACCCCGGGCCUGCAGUGGGUACGGGCAGACUAGAGUUCGGUAGGGGAGACUGGAAUUCCUGGUGUAGCGGUGAAAUGCGCAGAUAUCAGGAGGAACACCGAUGGCGAAGGCAGGUCGCUGGGCCGAUACUGACGCUGAGGAGCGAAAGCGUGGGGAGCGAACAGG